UACGUAGGGUGCAAGCAUUAAUCGGAUUUAUUGGGCGUAAAGGGCGCGUAGGCGGGGAUGUAAGUCAGAUGUGAAAUCCCGGGGCUCAACCCCGGAACUGCAUUUGAAACUGCAACUCUAGAGGGUAGGCGGGGAAAAUGGAAUUCCACAAGUAGCGGUGAAAUGCGUAGAUAUGUGGAAGAACACCGGUGGCGAAGGCGAUUUUCUAGCUUAUACCUGACGCUAAUGCGCGAAAGCAAGGGGAUCAAACAGG
rnacentral:rRNA from 1 species